GCUGGGAUAGCUCAGUCGGUAGAGCAUGGGACUCUUAAUCUCAGGGUUGUGGGUUCGAGCCCCACACUGGGUA